CCCUUAGACGUUCUGGGCCGCACGCGCGCUACACUGAUGCAUUCAACGAGCCUAUCCUUGACCGACAGGUCCGGGUAAUCUUUGAAUCUGCAUCGUGACGGGGAUAGAUUAUUGCAAUUAUUAAUCUUCAACGAGGAAUGCCUAGUAGGCGCAAGUCAUCAGCUUGCGUCGAUUACGUCCCUGCCCUUUGUACACACCGCCCGUCGCUCCUACCGAUUGGGUGGGCUGGUGAAAUGUUCGGAUCGGCCGUUUGUCGCGGUUUCCGCGUCAUGUGGCUGAGAAGUUCAUUAAACCCUCCCACCUAGAGGAAGGAGAAGUCGUAACA
rnacentral:rRNA from 1 species